rnacentral:rRNA from 1 species
AUUGAACGCUGGCGGCAGGCCUAACACAUGCAAGUCGAACGAGUGGCGGACGGGUGAGUAAUGUCUAGGAAACUGCCUGAUGGAGGGGGAUAACUACUGGAAACGGUAGCUACUACCGCAUACCAUCGGAUGUGCCCAGAUGGGCUUAGCUUGUUGGUGGUGUACCGGCUCACCAAGGCGACGCUCCCUAGCUGGUCUGCGAGGAUGACCAGCAACACGGGAACUGAGACACGGUCCAGACUCCUACGGGAGGCAGCAGUGGGGAAGAUUGCACAAUGGGCGCAAGCCUGAUGCAGCCAUGCCGCGUGUAUGAAGAAGGCCUUCGGGUUGUAAAGUACUUUCAGCGGGGAGGCGUUACCCGCAGAAGAAGCACCGGCUAACUCCGUGCCAGCAGCCGCGGUAAUAC